GCCCUGGAGGUCUAGUGGUUAGGCCACAGCGCUCUCACCGCUGUGGCCCGCGUUCGAUUCCCGGCCAUGGGA
rnacentral:tRNA from 1 species